UGAAGAGCGAAAUGUAAUGCGAUCUGCAUAGACCUGUGAGACAUGGAGUAUUUGAACGCACAUGGCGCCCAGAGCAUCUGGGCAUGGAGGAGUGAGGGUUGAAUGCAGUGGGCAUCCAUCGCUGGAUGGCCGAGAUGGGGUCUGAACGGGGGGUGCACCAGAUGCACCGACGACCGUUGGCCUUGAAAGCGAGCAGGGUGGCAUCAGGACACACCGUGAGACAUGCCCCGUGCACACUUGCAGUGGGUCAGUGAUGCGCCCUGUGCGGUGCACUGCUACUGGGUGCACCAGGUGCAUGCAAUCAGCACACCAGGCACACACACCAGGCAGCCACCAGGCACAGCCACCACACCCAACCUCACCCCUCCAAGACCACCCGCUCAACUUAA
rnacentral:misc_RNA from 1 species